CUUGAACGCUGGCGGCAGGCUUAACACAUGCAAGUCGAGCGGAGAUGAGGUGCUUGCACCUUAUCUUAGCGGCGGACGGGUGAGUAAUGCUUAGGAAUCUGCCUAUUAGUGGGGGACAACAUUCCGAAAGGAAUGCUAAUACCGCAUACGUCCUACGAGAGAAAGCAGGGGAGCUUCGGAGCUUGCGCGAAUAGAUGAGCCUAAGUCGGAUUAGCUAGUUGGGGGGGUAAAGGCCUACCAAGGCGACGAUCUGUAGCGGGUCUGAGAGGAUGCUCCGCCACACUGGGACUGAGACACGGCCCAGACUCCUACGGGAGGCAGCAGUGGGGAAUAUUGGACAAUGGGGGGAACCCUGAUCCAGCCAUGCCGCGUGUGUGAAGAAGGCCUUAUGGUUGUAAAGCACUUUAAGCGAGGAGGAGGCUACUAAGACUAAUACUCUUGGAUAGUGGACGUUACUCGCAGAAUAAGCACCGGCUAACUCUGUGCCAGCCGCCGCAGUAACAC
rnacentral:rRNA from 1 species